rnacentral:rRNA from 1 species
UGCGUAGGGCGCAAGCGUUGUCCGGAAUUAUUGGGCGUAAAGAGCUCGUAGGCGGUCUGUUGCGUCCGCUGUGAAAACCCAGGGCUUAACCCUGGGCUUGCAGUGGAUACGGGCAGACUAGAGGCAGGUAGGGGAGAAUGGAAUUCCCGGUGUAGCGGUGAAAUGCGCAGAUAUCGGGAGGAACACCGGUGGCGAAGGCGGUUCGCUGGGCCGGUCCUGACGCUGAAACGCGAAGGCGUGGGGAGCGAACGGG